rnacentral:rRNA from 1 species
CAAUAGCGUAUAUUUAAGUUGCUGCAGUUAAAAAGCUCGUAGUUGGAUUUCGGGUGGGAAUGGCCGGUCCGCCGUUUCGGUGUGCACUUGCUACGCCCACCUUGCUGCCGGGGACGUGCUCUUGAGUUCACGCUCGGGACACGGAGUCGGCGAGGUUACUUUGAGUAAAUUAGAGUGUUCAAAGCAGGCCUACGCUCUGAAUACAUUAGCAUGGAAUAACACGAUAGGACUCUGGCCUAUCUUGUUGGUCUGUAGGACCGGAGUAAUGAUUAAGAGGGACAGUCGGGGGCAUUCGUAUUUCAUUGUCAGAGGUGAAAUUCUUGGAUUUAUGAAAGACGAACUACUGCGAAAGCACUUGCCAAGGAUGUUUUCAUUAA